UACAGAGGUCUCAAGCGUUGUUCGGAUUCAUUGGGCGUAAAGGGUGCGUAGGCGGCGCGGUAAGUCGGGUGUGAAAGCCCGGAGCUCAACUCCGGAACUGCCAUUGAAACUGUGAAACUUGAGGAUGAGAGAGGUGAGUGGAAUUCCCAGUGUAGCGGUGAAAUGCGUAGAUAUUGGGAGGAACACCAGUGGCGAAGGCGGCUCACUGGACCGGAACUGACGCUGAGGUGCGAAAGCGUGGGGAGCAAACAGG
rnacentral:rRNA from 1 species